rnacentral:rRNA from 1 species
AUACGAAGGGGGCUAGCGUUGUUCGGAAUUACUGGGCGUAAAGCGCGCGUAGGCGGUGUUCCAAGUCAGAGGUGAAAUCCCGGAGCUCAACUUCGGAAUUGCCUUUGAAACGGGGACACUUGAGUCCGAGAGAGGAUGGCGGAAUUCCUAGUGUAGAGGUGAAAUUCGUAGAUAUUAGGAAGAACACCGGUGGCGAAGGCGGCCAUCUGGCUCGGUACUGACGCUCAGGCGCGAAAGCGUGGGGAGCAAACAGGAUUAGAUACCCUGGUAGUCCACGCCGUAAACGAUGAGUGCUAGUUGUUGGGGAGUUUACUCUUCAGUGACGUAGCUAACGCGUUAAGCUCUCCGCCUGGGGAGUACGGUCGCAAGAUUAAA